CGGUCCUCGUGUGUAUAUAAGGGCACGAGACGCUCCUCUCAUUCUCUUCCUCUUCAAGUCUUUCCUAAGAAGGACGUACGGCUAACUGACAAAAACGGGUAAAUCCGAAGCAGGAUCUCACCCCGAGACCCCGACUAUGGCUCGCUGCGCAUCCUGCAGGAAUUGGGGAACGUGGAAGGUGAAGAGGCAGAACAUGAACGUUGCGUCACGUGCAGGUGACCCUGAUGGCUGAAGGAGAACUUUGAAUGACAAGGCAUCAAGUUGAGCUCUUUAACGUUGGCCCAAAGGCUACGACACCUCGCAGGUGUGCCAGAGACUCGUUUCGAGCCCAGAUUACGGUGGUCUGCAUCCACCUGUGAAAGGACUACGAGGAAGCUGCAUCAGUCAGUUUAGACUGACUUGACUGCAGGAACAACCAAGCAUGAUGGUGUGGGACGAACUCUUGGUUUAAAUUAUUGUGUCAUGGAAUAAAAUGUUUGAGAAGUUUGUUCAGCCUUGAGAAAAAUAAACGUUUUUUUAAUCUA